rnacentral:rRNA from 14 species
CCAAAACAACCAGGAUGUUGGCUUAGAAGCAGCCAUCAUUUAAAGAAAGCGUAACAGCUCACUGGUCUAAAUAAGCCGUCCUGCGCCGAAGAUGUAUCGGGGCUCAAACUAUGUACCGAAGCUGAGGAUUCAAUUAUCUUACGGGAUAAUUGUCUGGUAGCGGAGCGUUCCGUAGGCCUGCGAAGGUGUACCGUGAGGUAUGCUGGAGGUAUCGGAAGUGAGAAUGCUGACAUGAGUAGCGACAAAGAGGGUGAGAGACCCUCUCGCCGAAAGUCCAAGGGUUCCUGCUCAACGCUAAUCGGAGCAGGGUUAGUCGGCCCCUAAGGCGAGGCCGAAAGGCGUAGUCGAUGGGAACCUGGUUAAUAUUCCAGGGCCUGGUGGAUGUGACGGAUCUCGUAAGUUGUUCUCUCUUAUCGGAUUGAGAGGGCUGCGAAGAGGUCCCAGGAAAUAACACCACCAUUAUAGACCGUACCCUAAACCAACACAGGUGGACUGGUAGAGUAUACCAAGGCGCUUGAGAGAACUAUGCUGAAGGAACUCGGCAAAUUGCUCCCGUAAGUUCGCGAGAAGGG